GAGAGCGGCGCACGGGUGCGGAACACGUGUGCAACCUGCCUUUAUCUGGGGGAUAGCCUUUCGAAAGGAAGAUUAAUACCCCAUAAUAUAUUUGUUGGCAUCAAUGAAUAUUGAAAACUCCGGUGGAUAGAGAUGGGCACGCGCAAGAUUAGAUAGUUGGUGAGGUAACGGCUCACCAAGUCAACGAUCUUUAGGGGGCCUGAGAGGGUGAUCCCCCACACUGGUACUGAGACACGGACCAGACUCCUACGGGAGGCAGCAGUGAGGAAUAUUGGACAAUGGGUGAGAGCCUGAUCCAGCCAUCCCGCGUGAAGGAUGACGGCCCUAUGGGUUGUAAACUUCUUUUGUAUAGGGAUAAACCUACUCUCGUGAGAGUAGCUGAAGGUACUAUACGAAUAAGCACCGGCUAACUCCGUGCCAGCAGCCGCGGUAAUACGGAGGGUGCAAGCGUUAUCCGGAUUUAUUGGGUUUAAAGGGUCCGUAGGCUGAUUUGUAAGUCAGUGGUGAAAUCUCACAGCUUAACUGUGAAACUGCCAUUGAUACUGCAAGUCUUGAGUGUUGUUGAAGUAGCUGGAAUAAGUAGUGUAGCGGUGAAAUGCAUAGAUAUUACUUAGAACACCAAUUGCGAAGGCAGGUUACUAAGCAACAACUGACGCUGAUGGACGAAAGCGUGGGGAGCGAACAGGAUUAGAUACCCUGGUAGUCCACGCCGUAAACGAUGCUAACUCGUUUUUGGUAUUUCGGUAUCAGAGACUAAGCGAAAGUGAUAAGUUAGCCACCUGGGGAGUACGUUCGCAAGAAUGAAACUCAAAGGAAUUGACGGGGGCCCGCACAAGCGGUGGAUUAUGUGGUUUAAUUCGAUGAUACGCGAGGAACCUUACCAAGGCUUAAAUGGGAAAUGACAGGCUUAGAAAUAGGCUUUUCUUCGGACAUUUUUCAAGGUGCUGCAUGGUUGUCGUCAGCUCGUGCCGUGAGGUGUUAGGUUAAGUCCUGCAACGAGCGCAACCCCUGUCACUAGUUGCCAUCAUUAAGUUGGGGACUCUAGUGAGACUGCCUACGCAAGUAGAGAGGAAGGUGGGGAUGACGUCAAAUCAUCACGGCCCUUACGCCUUGGGCCACACACGUAAUACAAUGGCCGGUACAGAGGGCAGCUACACAGCGAUGUGAUGCAAAUCUCGAAAGCCGGUCUCAGUUCGGAUUGGAGUCUGCAACUCGACUCUAUGAAGCUGGAAUCGCUAGUAAUCGCGCAUCAGCCA
rnacentral:rRNA from 1 species